rnacentral:rRNA from 1 species
UCAGCCACAUUGGGACUGAGACACGGCCCAAACUCCUACGGGAGGCAGCAGUAGGGAAUCUUGCACAAUGGGGGAAACCCUGAUGCAGCGAUGCCGCGUGAGUGAAGAAGGCCUUUGGGUUGUAAAGCUCUUUCGUCGGGGAAGAAAAUGACUGUACCCGAAUAAGAAGGUCCGGCUAACUUCGUGCCAGCAGCCGCGGUAAUACGAAGGGACCUAGCGUAGUUCGGAAUUACUGGGCUUAAAGAGUUCGUAGGUGGUUAAAAAAGUUGGUGGUGAAAUCCCAGAGCUUAACUCUGGAACUGCCAUCAAAACUUUUUAGCUAGAGUAUGAUAGAGGAAAGCAGAAUUUCUAGUGUAGAGGUGAAAUUCGUAGAUAUUAGAAAGAAUACCAAUUGCGAAGGCAGCUUUCUGGAUCAUUACUGACACUGAGGAACGAAAGCAUGGGUAGCGAAGAGGAUUAGAUACCCUCGUAGUCCAUGCCGUAAACGAUGUGUGUUAGACGUUGGAAAUUUAUUUUCUGUGUCGCAGCGAAAGCAAUAAACACACCGCCUGGGGAGUACGACCGCAAGGUUAAAACUCAAAUGAAUUGACGGGGACCCGCACAAGUAGUGGAGCAUGUGGUUUAAUUCGAAGAUACGCGCAGAACCUUACCAACACUUGACAUGUUCGUCGCGACUUUAAGAGAUUAAAGUUUUCGGUUCGGCCGGACGAAACACAGGUGCUGCAUGGCUGUCGUCAGCUCGUGUCGUGAGAUGUUGGGUUAAGUCCCGCAACGAGCGCAACCCUCACUUUUAGUUGCCAUCAUUAAGUUGGGCACUCUGAAAGAACUGCCAGUGAUAAGCUGGAGGAAGGUGGGGAUGACGUCAAGUCCUCAUGGCCCUUACGUGUUGGGCUACACACGUGCUACAAUGGCAUUUACAAUAGGAAGCAAGACGGCGACGUUAAGCAAAUCCUAAAAAAAUGCCUCAGUUCGGAUUGUACUCUGCAACUCGAGUACAUGAAGCUGGAAUUACUAGUAAUCGCGGAUCAGCGCGCCGCGGUGAAUACGUUCCCGGGUCUUGUACACACCGCCCGUCACACCAUGGGAGUUGGUUCUACCUUAAGGCAAAGUUUAAUACCUUUGACCACGGUAUAGUCAG